UGGAGACUGACUGGCCAUUAAACACAAAAUGAUGACUGGUGCAGCAGGUGCAGUGAAGUGGGAAGGUGUGGAGCAAAUAAAAAAGUCCAUGGCAUCCGUAAGAAAUGCUGACCCCCAGGAAAUUUUAAAAGGUUAUGUGCACUGUGGUAUUCAUGACGUAUGUGUGAGAGCUCCUGGGGACAACAGCUAAAUUUCCCACCACACCACAUCCUGAGAGGAUCCAUAAAGAAGAAAUGGAUGUCAUUAGGAAAAAAGACUUCAUCAGGCACUUCCCCUAGGAGGUAGCAGGUCAGAUUUUGGCUAAAACUCAUAUCUUCACCAUAGACAAAUGGUAUGCACAAUGGGUUAAAAAUAUCUGGGGAAGGAUAUGAGGAGGGCUUCUUCUUUCUCAAUCUUUAAAGUGAGUUCGAUGUGGCAUGGAAUGAUCAUCUUUGUCUCACUCCACCCCUCACUCACUCCUUUCAUGUAGUACAAAUUGUCCAGCUUUGGAAAAUUUUGGAUGAGAUUUUUGAAUGAGAAAUGCAUAGUUCAGCCCACUUUCCACCCACUUCAUCUUCGGUGUUAACUGCCAGAAGGAGGCCUGUCAUUCUGUUCUGCCCAUCCAUAUUAUAAAUUUUACAGGGCAGCUCCCAUAAGAUGGAACUGAUAUAGUCUGGUGUUGAAUGUGAAUGGGCACAGAAUCUAUUUCUGGUGUUUAGUGUUAGAAUGUCUUCUUGCUCACAGGUAUAUGCUACAUUUUUCAAUAUCAGCUUCACCAGCAAUAGAGUAAUCUUUCAUUUGCCCAUUUUUUAAAAAAAUCUGUUUUUCAACUGGCCUGAUUUUGAGUGAAGACAAUUAUAAUUGAACGUUUUUCCCUAAAAUCCUAAGGCUACAAUUACAUUUACAAAAGUGUAACUGAAUGUUUUCCCCUAAAAUACUAAGGCUACUUAAGGGUAUUUUAUUUCUUAACUAAAAAAAAAAAAAUGUCAGGACAAUUUGUCACUUCUCAGAGCAUCUCACUGAGCACAAUAGAAAAGAAAAAGAUCGCCUAUAUGAUUGUUAUAGUCAAAAGCACACUUUAACUAGAAAAUAUAAAUAUUCUCAAUUUGAGGAAAUGGCCAAUGAUUUAAGAAUAUCCUUAAAUGACUAAUUAACAUAUGGUGGAAAGUAUUUCAGCAAUGCUUAAGGUAUUUUUAACUCUAACUUCUAGCUGUGGGACUGUUUUAGCUUCAUGAAGCAGCCAUAGCUACAUUUAAUUCAUUCACUAUGUCACAGAAUGUUUAUUAUCCACAUAUGCAGCCCAUUCUGAUGUCUAAUAAAACAUGGGCUCUUGUAGCAUCCCUGCUCAUACUUGGUGAACACUAUUCCUCAAAACACUCCUGACAUCUCUGGUUCAGGAAGCAGAGGAAAGACUUGCUUCCCAGGAAGUGGAUUUGAUUUCACUCAGUUUCUCUCCAAACACAGAAAAAGGUAUCGUGUAGCUCACGUUCAUUGGUUCAUGUAGAAAUGAACCAAUACUCUAAGCAUAAUAGUAUUUCCAUUUUGGAAAACUUUAGCCUAGAGAGAAGAUUAUGGGGUAUAUGUUACCUGUCUUAAAGUAUUUUGAAGAAUUUGUGAAGAGCAUAUUCUCGUUCCAAGUUGUUCUGGAAGGCAAAAUAUGACUAAAUGGGUGUAAAUCACAAGCUGGAAUAUUUUGGUUUGGAAAAAAAAAAAAAAACAGAAACAACUUUCUAACAAUUACAGCUAAACUGCCAAGAAAUAAACUACCUUUUGUAAUAGUAAACUGCUCUGAGUUAUCUCAUGCUGAUGUCCUCCAAAUGAUUCACAC
rnacentral:lncRNA from 1 species